rnacentral:piRNA from 1 species
UAGCAAAAUGCAUCUAGGAUCCACCCACA